rnacentral:rRNA from 1 species
AUGCAAGUCGAGCGGAAACGAUGGGAGCUUGCUCCCAGGCGUCGAGCGGCGGACGGGUGAGUAACGCGUAGGAAUCUACCCAGUAGCGGGGGAUAGCCCGGGGAAACCCGGAUUAAUACCGCAUACGCCCCACGGGGGAAAGCAGGGGAUCUUCGGACCUUGCACUAUUGGAUGAGCCUGCGUUGGAUUAGCUAGUUGGUGGGGUAAUGGCCUACCAAGGCGACGAUCCAUAGCUGGUCUGAGAGGAUGAUCAGCCACACUGGGACUGAGACACGGCCCAGACUCCUACGGAAGGCAGCAGUAGGGAAUAUUGGACAAUGGGGGCAACCCUGAUCCAGCCAUGCCGCGUGUGUGAAGAAGGCUUUCGGGUUGUAAAGCACUUUCAGCGAGGAGGAAAUGGCAGCGGCUAAUAUCCGCAGUCUAUGACGUUACUCGCAGAAGAAGGACCGGCUAACUCCGUGCCAGCAGCCGCGGUAAUACGGAGGGUCCGAGCGUUAAUCGGAAUUACUGGGCGUAAAGCGCGCGUAGGCGGUUAGAUCAGUCGGGUGUGAAAGCCCCGGGCUCAACCUGGGAACUGCAUUCGAUACUGUCUGACUGGAGUAUGGGAGAGGGCAGUGGAAUUCCAUGUGUAGCGGUGAAAUGCGUAGAUAUGUGGAGGAACACCAGUGGCGAAGGCGACUGCCUGGC